UUCCAUAGUUUUUGCAAAUAUUAAAACAUGGCAAAUUUUUAAGUGAUUGCUAAACUGUUCACUAAACUUUUAAGCUUCAUUUAUAUGAAGACCAAUUAUCCAAUAUAACUAUGUUCGUGAUAUGAGGCAUUGGAUAUUAUCUAGAAUUAUAUCUGAAGAGUCGUUCUAUCUUUUCGGAGAGGAUACUUUGCGGACCACGCCUCUCUCAUGCAUGUCCGAGUGCAAAUCAUGUUUUCAUAUGCCUCAAAAUCAAAGGGAAAUCUCCUCUCACAACUCUCCGUGGUGCCCAACAAUCACAAACCAUUCACUAGUAUUGAUGUUGGACUCGACUAAAUAUGCACUCCAAAUUCCAAUCAACUAUAUAAGCCCGUGGUGAUCAAACACAUACAUGUUAUAAAAAUUAUACCGAAGUUAUCACGGUUACGUUUAUACAACAAAUGGACACAUUUUGUCGAAUAACGGAGGGACAAUCAAGGACCAGUAGCUCCAACGUCGAUGAUCACACCAUGGAGAUUCAACGCCACAAAUCCUGUAAUUCCAUGGAGUGAAAAAAAAAUAGGUCACCACAAUUUUGUUCUUCAAUUUGUUUUAGUAAGAUCAUUAUGAUCAAGUAACCACUCAUCAUAUGCAAAUUUUAACAUUUGUUUCUCUAUCUAAAAAACCUACAAAAAAAUGUCUUCUUACUCGAGUCAUGUAGGAUUUUUCUAUUAUAUAUGUAUGCAUGCAUAUGUUAUUUGGUUCUUCUACUUAUAGUAUAAUGAGGCUAUUUUCUAGUGUGGUGGGUCCCGCAUGUAGGUCUCUUAAAUCCAAAAAAUAAUGCAACACAUCCACCUAACAUGCUACAAAUCCAACAAUCAUUAGUUUACUCCUAACAUCAGUGCCCUUAUAAUUCCAACAAUCUCAAAUAAACUCUAAAAUUCCAACAAUCUCCAAUAAUCUCCAAUCAGUGCCCUUACAAUUCCAACACACAGCUAGUACACUACCUAAUACAACAAAUAUGUGCAGAACAUGAUACGAAUUGCUGUAAAAUUUGCUGCUGCUCGAAGGGGUAAUUGGCUGAGACAAGAAUAACAUAAAGAAAAAAAGACUACAGCGGGCGACGUCGGUGUCGGCGUCACCAUGGGCGGUGGUGACCGUGGGGUGGAUAGGAGGAGGGGAAUAGAGGCGACGCUCGCCAGCGUUGCCGGGGAGCAGGGGCGGCGAGGCUCGGUGAUGGGCGCGGCUCGGGGAGGAGAGGACGAGGAGG
rnacentral:lncRNA from 1 species